rnacentral:rRNA from 1 species
CAGUAGCCACGGGAAUACGUAGGGUGCAAGCGUUAAUCGGAAUUACUGGGCGUAAAGCGUGCGCAGGCGGUUUGUUAAGACAGAUGUGAAAUCCCCGGGCUUAACCUGGGAACUGCAUUUGUGACUGGCAAGCUAGAGUAUGGCAGAGGGGGGUGGAAUUCCGCGUGUAGCAGUGAAAUGCGUAGAUAUGCGGAGGAACACCGAUGGCGAAGGCAGCCCCCUGGGCCAAUACUGACGCUCAUGCACGAAAGCGUGGGGAGCAAACAGGAUUAGAUACCCCCGUAGUCCCUGUCUCUUAUAC